rnacentral:rRNA from 1 species
GAUCCUGCUCAGGAUGAACGCUGGCGGCGUGCCUAACACAUGCAAGUCGGACGGAGCUGCUUUGAUGAAGUUUUCGGAUGGAUUUAAAACAGCUUAGUGGCGGACGGGUGAGUAACGCGUGGGUAACCUGCCUCACACUGGGGGAUAACAGUUAGAAAUAGCUGCUAAUACCGCAUAAGCGCACGGUUCCGCAUGGAACAGUGUGAAAAACUCCGGUGGUGUCAGAUGGACCCGCGU